rnacentral:rRNA from 1 species
UAACGCGUGAGCAAUCUGCCUUUAGGAGGGGGAUAACAGUCGGAAACGGCUGCUAAUACCGCAUAAUGUAUGUCCUUCGCAUGUUGGACAUACCAAAGGAGCAAUCCGCCUUUAGAUGAGCUCGCGUCUGAUUAGCUAGUUGGCGGGGUAACGGCCCACCAAGGCGACGAUCAGUAGCCGGACUGAGAGGUUGAACGGCCACAUUGGGACUGAGACACGGCCCAG